rnacentral:rRNA from 1 species
AGGGAUCAUUACCGAGUUUACAACUCCCAAACCCAAUGUGAACGUUACCAAACUGUUGCCUCGGCGGGGUCACGCCCCGGGUGCGUCGCAGCCCCGGAACCAGGCGCCCGCCGGAGGAACCAACCAAACUCUUUCUGUAGUCCCCUCGCGGACGUAUUUCUUACAGCUCUGAGCAAAAAUUCAAAAUGAAUCAAAACUUUCAACAACGGAUCUCUUGGUUCUGGCAUCGAUGAAGAACGCAGCGAAAUGCGAUAAGUAAUGUGAAUUGCAGAAUUCAGUGAAUCAUCGAAUCUUUGAACGCACAUUGCGCCCGCCAGUAUUCUGGCGGGCAUGCCUGUCCGAGCGUCAUUUCAACCCUCGAACCCCUCCGGGGGAUCGGCGUUGGGGAUCGGGACCCCUCACACGGGUGCCGGCCCCUAAAUACAGUGGCGGUCUCGCCGCAGCCUCUCCUGCGCAGUAGUUUGCACAACUCGCACCGGGAGCGCGGCGCGUCCACGUCCGUAAAACACCCAACUUUCUGAAAUGUUGACCUCGGAUCAGGUAGGAAUACCCGCUGAACUUAAGCAU